rnacentral:rRNA from 1 species
AACGAACGCUGGCGGCAUGCCUAACACAUGCAAGUCGAACGAGACCUUCGGGUCUAGUGGCGAAAGGGUGCGUAACGCGUGGGAACCUGCCCUUAGGUUCGGAAUAACUCCCCGAAAGGGGUGCUAAUACCGGAUAAUGUCUUCGGACCAAAGAUUUAUCGCCUUUGGAUGGGCCCGCGUUGGAUUAGCUAGUUGGUAGGGUAAAAGCCUACCAAGGCGACGAUCCAUAGCUGGCCUGAGAGGAUGAUCAGCCACACUGGGACUGAGACACGGCCCAGACUCCUACGGGAGGCAGCAGUGGGGAAUAUUGGACAAUGGGCGAAAGCCUGAUCCAGCAAUGCCGCGUGAGUGAUGAAGGCCUUAGGGUUGUAAAGCUCUUUUACCCGGGAUGAUAAUGACAGUACCGGGAGAAUAAGCUCCGGCUAACUCCGUG